AAAGAUUUAAAAAAUGUGUUGGGGAGAAAACCGAGAGUGGCCAAGUGACUGUUGAUACGGAGAUUACUAUGGAUACAAGGAAGCCAGCUUUCUGCCAUGUGAGGACACUACCAGAAGGCCCUCAUCAGAAACUCAAACCUGCAAGAGCCUUGAUCUUGGACUUCCCAGCCCCCAGAAGUAUGAGAAAAUAAAUUUCCAUUUUUAUAAAUUA